UCCCUACGGGAGGCAGCAGCCGCGGUAAUACGUAGGGAGCGAGCGUUAUCCGGAUUUAUUGGGUGUAAAGGGUGCGUAGGCGGCUUCUUAAGUCUGUAGUCUAAGCCCGGAGCUUAACUCCGGUUCGCUACAGAAACUGAUUAGCUUGAGUAUGGUAGAGGCAAGUGGAAUUUCUAGUGUAGCGGUUAAAUGCGUAGAUAUUAGAAGGAACACCAGUGGCGAAGGCGACUUGCUGGGCCAUUACUGACGCUGAGGCACGAAAGCGUGGG
rnacentral:rRNA from 1 species